ACGUCGAAGGGUGGGCUCGCGUCCGAUUAGAUAGUUGGUGAGGUAACGGCCCACCAAGUCGACGAUCGGUAGCCGACCUGAGAGGGUGAUCGGCCACAUUGGGACUGAGACACGGCCCAAACUCCUACGGGAGGCAGCAGUGGGGAAUAUUGGGCAAUGGGGGAAACCCUGACCCAGCAACGCCGCGUGAGGGAAGAAGGUUUUCGGAUCGUAAACCUCUGUCCUUGGUGAAGAGGAAGAGACGGUAGCCAAGGAGGAAGCCCCGGCUAACUACGUGCC
rnacentral:rRNA from 1 species